rnacentral:rRNA from 1 species
CCUACGGUGGCAACAGUGGGGAAUAUUGCACAAUGGGGGGAACCCUGAUGCAGCGACGCCGCGUGAGUGAAGAAGUAUUUCGGUAUGUAAAGCUCUAUCAGCAGGGAAGAAAAUGACGGUACCUGACUAAGAAGCCCCGGCUAACUACGUGCCAGCAGCCGCGGUAAUACGUAGGGGGCAAGCGUUAUCCGGAUUUACUGGGUGUAAAGGGAGCGCAGACGGCUGUGCAAGUCUGGAGUGAAAGGCGGGGGCCCAACCCCCGGACGGCUCUGGAAACUGUAAAGCUGGAGUGCAGGAGAGGUAAGCGGAAUUCCUAGUGUAGCGGUGAAAUGCGUAGAGAUUAGGAGGAACACCAGGGGCGAAGGCGGCAUACUGGACUGCAACUGACGGUGAGGCUCGAAAGCGUGGGGAGCAAACAGGAUUAGAUACCCCAGUAGUC